UGAUAGACGCAGUGUUGAAUCAUAUUACGUGUCGAAUCAUAUGGCUCAUAAAGCUAAUGAUGCUCCAUUCAAAUUUCUGUCUCAUCAACUUGAUGGUAGGAUARGGCCUACCAUGGUCGUGACGRGUAACGGGGAAUUAGCGUUCGAUUCCGGAGAGGGAGCCUGAGAGACGGCUACCACUACUACGGGAGGCAGCAGGCGCGCAACUUACCCAAUCCUGAUCCAGGGAGGUAGUGACGAAACAUACCACGGAUAUAAUCGAAAAGAUUUGAGACGUGGAAUGCGUUCAAUCUGCAUCAUUGAACGAUAAUCAAUUGGAGGGCAAGUCUGGU
rnacentral:rRNA from 1 species